rnacentral:rRNA from 1 species
AACGCUGGCGGUGUGCUCACACAUGCAAGUCGAACGAGGUAGCAAUACCUAGUGGCGGACGGGUGAGUAACGCGUGGGAAUCUGCCUUUAGAUGGGGGAUAACGGGUCGAAAGACUCGCUAAUACCGCAUAUGACGAAAGUUGAAAGGAGUAAUCCGUCUAAAGAUGAGCCCGCGUCCGAUUAGCUAGUUGGUAGAGUAAGAGCCUACCAAGGCGACGAUCGGUAGCUGGUCUGAGAGGAUGAUCAGCCACAAUGGGACUGAGACACGGCCCAUACUCCUACGGGAGGCAGCAGUGGGGAAUUUUACGCAAUGGGCGAAAGCCUGACGUAGCGACACCGCGUGAGCGAAGAAGCCCCUUGGGGUGUAAAGCUCUGUCAGCUGGAACGAAAAAAAUGACGGUACCAGCAGAGGAAGCAUCGGCUAACUACGUG